CCUACGGGAGGCAGCAGUGGGGAAUAUUGCACAAUGGGGGGAACCCUGAUGCAGCGACGCCGCGUGAGUGAAGAAGUCUUUCGGUAUGUACAGUUCUAUCAGCAGGGAAGAAAAUGACGGUUCUUGACUAUGAAGCCCCGGCUAACUACGUGCCAGCAGACGCGGUAAUACGUAGGGGGCAAGCGUUAACCGGAUUUACUGGUUGUAAAGGGAGCGCAGACGGCUGUGCAUGUAUGGAGUGAAAGGCGGGGGCCCAACCCCCGGACUGCUCUGGAAACUGGAAAGCUGGAGUGCAGGAGAGGGAAGCGGAAUUCCAAGUGUAGCGGUGAAAUGCGUAGAUAUUAGGAGGAACACCAGGGGCGAAGGCGGCUUACUGGACUGCAACUGACGUUGAGGCUCGAAAGCGUGGGGAGCAAACAGGAUUAGAUACCCUUGUAGUC
rnacentral:rRNA from 1 species